ensembl:lncRNA
GUGUUGGAGAAAAGCAAAAAGCCGUAAAUGUAGUGCAAUUUUUUUCUGUCGUGUACAUGUGCUGUUCAUAAAAUCAUCUUUUAAAAUAAACUGUACACGUUAAAAUGUCUCAUUAACUAAUAAUUAAUACUAUCAUCAAUAACAAUCAGUAUUUACUUUUAUCAGUCGGCAGUAGUGUGUGGUGCUACUUCGUAAAGCUAACCGAGCUGGUCAAGACAGGCAUAUACUUGAGUGUCCAGGGUGGGUACCACAAAGCCUGGCCCGAGUCCGUUAGGAUGAAGAAGAAUGUCACGCAAUGGGGCUGCUUAGAAGCCAAAGAGAGGUGGAAAGGCCUGUUUUGGCUGUCACCCGACAGAUUUGUUGCAGGUUCUUCAUCCUUGGGUGGAGAUGUGAUGUGAAAAGGUAAACACUCAAAGAAAACAAUAGGUAAGGUGUACAGCAACACCCUGGGAACAGGCCAGGAGACCACCCCUCUUGA